rnacentral:rRNA from 1 species
GUCCGCACUGUAAACGAUGAUUACUAGUUGCUGGGGAGCAAUUCCCAGUGACCAAGCGAAAGCGAUAAGUAAUCCACCUGGGGAGUACGCCGGCAACGGUGAAACUCAAAGGAAUUGACGGGGGCCCCGCACAAGCGGAGGAGCAUGUGGUUUAAUUCGAUGAUACGCGAGGAACCUUACCAGGGCUUGAAAGUUAGGGAAUAAUCCUGAAAGGGAUUAGUCAGCAAUGACCCGAAACUAGGUGCUGCAUGGCUGUCGU